rnacentral:lncRNA from 1 species
CUUUAAUGUUAGCUUUAUUAAUGCUCUUUGCAAUUUUAUUGUGGGUUUUUUUAUUAGAGCUGGGCGAUAUCAAAAUUUGUCCAAUGAUAUAUCGCUCAAAGUGACAUAUCAUGAUAUUACUAUUUAUCACUUGAGUACAUGUACAUGUACACGUUGAAUUAUUAUCAUAUUAAAUUUUUAGCAAAAACUAUCAAAGAUUUUUAGCCAAAAAUACCAUUGUAUUAACUUUGUCUGGUUUUAAACAAGUUCGUCUUGAAGACAUGAGAUUGCCAGAUGUACUGAAAACUCUCUCGGAGGGAGAGCUGGUUGCACAGCAACAUAAAUACUUCCUUGCUAAUGUGCUUAAUGCCGGGAAAGUUUUGUUGUAAGACUUCCACCACUCUAAUGGAUUUAACUCUGAAUCUAGUAGAGGAUAUUGAAUGUAUCUAUCUAUUUAAUUUUGGAUCUUCUCUUCGAGGGUUAAGGAAGUUUGGUUUAAAGUGUAAGUGCAGUGAUUUUUUAGGGUAUUUAGAGUUUCUUAGGCAAAAGUGGAUCAGUGGAAGAGGAAGUUGAAGUGGUAGUAGCCACAUCUUCAGUGUCAUCUGGUUUCUCAGGUAUUUUCUUGAUAUUCACCUUGUCUGAUUCAGCUACAUGUAUAUACAUGUAUUCCAUUUUAAAUCUUUAAUCGAGAUAUGAUGCUGAGUUAAGAAAUAGAAGGGUAUCUUAAUCACUGUACUUGCUUUCAAAGUAAGAUUUCACUGCUCUUUUAAAAUCUUUGGUAAGUUGUGUGUCGGAUUCUUUUUGUAGAAGUGUGUCGGAGUACAAAUGAUGAAGUAGUGGAACUACAGCAGAUAUGGUCACGUGCUUUUCACCAGAUGGAAUGUCAGUAAAAGCAUAUAGUGGACCUAGGGCAGACCUCAUGGACUCCAGAAAUUUUAUAUCUUGCCAUGAUGGGAUGAGAUGAACAGAUUUGCGGUCAGUACUACAUGUGUAAGUACUUUUCGAAUAGUGCUUUCCUGUUCAAGUAUGCGCUCUAUUAUCUUGACUUUUGAGCCCAUCUGGUUGGACAAUCCUAAAUAAUAGUGUAAUAACAUGAAUGAACCAUUACAUGAUUAUAUCCUUACUGUGAUAAGAGAGUGCUUGGGUAGUUUUAGCUCCCCUUGCAUUAUUGCUACAUCUCUUCUUUUGUUCCAACUGUGAGAAAAAUAAGAUACUAUCUUGUUGCAUAUACCAACUACCUUUGUAACACGAUCAUCACCUUUCACAGAGUUGGUUACAGCGAGGUGGAGAUUAUGGCCAAAACAUGAUAUUCGAUUCCAACCCAAAAUGUCAGAAGCUAAUAUCAUAUUGGAUCCAUUAUCUGUAGUAAUACAGACUAAGCUACUGUUAUUGAGUUCCCAUUGCUGCAUUGCCUGUGUUAACGCUUCUGAGAUGUUAGACCCAGUGUGAUCCUCUCGCUUGAACAUAGUCUGAAGACAUCUAGACUUGUGCUCCCAUUCUUCAUUGAUGAAGUGUACUGUGAGACUGAUAGAGGGUUCCAUAGUAUAGCUACUCCAAAGAAUUAAUGUCAAACACGCGAGUAUAACUGAGGAAUUGCUGUCUGUGUAAAGUAUUUUCGCCCUGGUAAGUCAUACUUGGAGUCAAGAACUUCCAUCAUGUGUCUAAAGCCAUCUUUCUCAACUGAAUAGACAGGUAACAUGUCCUUAGCUAAGUAGUAUGUGACAGCAUUAGACUAACAGCUUGCCAUCUUUUACUAUUACAUGGAUAUUUGUAAAGUUUAGAUUUAGUUGCUUGCUUGAUGACUGGUGACUAUUGGAAGUCUUGGUCUUACCCUCAUUAACUUUAACAAACUCUUUGGGGUGAUGAUAUCGAAGGUAAGAGAACAAAUUUGUGGUAUUACGACCUUUACAGCUUAUAGGUUUGCUAACUUUCUUCUCCCAGCAUAUUUGGCACUUGGGAUUUUCUUGAUCUUUUCCAGCAUCCUUCACAAACCCAAAUUUUCCAGUAUCCUUCACAAACCCAAAGUAGAUCCAUAUUUGUGAUUUGGUAUUACUUUUAGACACUAGUUCUUGUUGUUGCUCUUCAAUUUCCAGCUGUUCACUUGCUUUUUUUAGCCAUUUUGUUUUUGUGUGACCAUUAGUGAUGUGCGAUUCCGAUACCAAAAUUCUCGAUUCUUCGAUUCCUAGGCAGUAUCAAAUUGGUAUCAAAGAUUUCCAGUACCGAAAAUAUCGAUUCUGAGUACAACCACACCCACUUAACUACAAUAAUGUUUAAUAAACUACUAGUUAAUUACAAACUAAAAAUGUAAAAAUAAUUUUUAUUGUUAAAA